UCGGGAAUUUUGGGCAAUGGGCGAAAGCCUGACCCAGCCAUGCCGCGUGUGUGAAGAAGGUCUUCGGAUUGUAAAGCACUUUAAGUUGGGAGGAAGGGCAGUUACCUAAUACGUAUCUGUUUUGACGUUACCGACAGAAUAAGCACCGGCUAACUCUGUGCCAGCAGCCGCGGUAAUACAGAGGGUGCAAACGUUAAUCGGAAUUACUGGGCGUAAAGCGCGCGUAGGUGGUUUGUUAAGUUGGAUGUGAAAUCCCCGGGCUCAACCUGGGAACUGCCUUCAAAACUGGCGACCUGGGCCUAAGUAGAGGCAAGUGGAAUUGCGAGUGUAGAGGUGAAAUUCGUAGAUAUUCGCAGGAACACCAGUGGCGAAGGCGACUUGCUGGACUUAUGGUGACGCUGAGACGCGAAAGCGUGGGGAGCAAACAGGAUUAGAUACCCNGUAGUCCCUGAGCGGGCUGGCAAGGCGCAU
rnacentral:rRNA from 1 species